rnacentral:rRNA from 1 species
UACGUAGGGUGCGAGCGUUGUCCGGAUUUAUUGGGCGUAAAGAGCUCGUAGGCGGUUUGUCGCGUCGGCCGUGAAAUCUCCACGCUUAACGUGGAGCGUGCGGUCGAUACGGGCAGACUUGAGUUCGGUAGGGGAGACUGGAAUUCCUGGUGUAGCGGUGAAAUGCGCAGAUAUCAGGAGGAACACCGGUGGCGAAGGCGGGAUCU